AGAGAACUAUGAAGCAUGGUGUAGACAUUGGAGAACAUCCUCAUGGCUGUGGUAACUAGGAUGUUUGAUCAAGAUUACAUCUUUAUCAGAGCUGGAGACUGACCCCUACCCACCACUGUGGUAAUUCAUUCUGUUCACAAGUCCGCCAGGCCCAUGUGAUCAUUCAUCUCGGGUGCGAGGGUCCCGAGGCAAUUUAAAUACCAGCUUCAAUCAGCCAUGGAGGUGAUGAAGAAUACUGGGAUCUUCAAUGGCAGGAGACAGAGUGAUCAGAAGACCGAGAUGAAUUUUAACACUAUUCUAGAAGAGAUUCUUAUUAAAAGAUCACAACAGAAAAAGAAGACAUCACCCUUAAACUAUAAAGAGAGACUUUUUGUGCUAACAAAGUCCAUGUUAACCUACUAUGAAGGUCGACCAGAG